AUUAAAGUUGUUGCGGUUAAAAAGCUCGUAGUUGGACUUUGGGUAGGAGCACGAGGUCCCCCGCGGCGUGCCGUGGGGAUCGAGGCCGAGCGUUUCCCUCCCUGCUCUCGGAACGCCACGAUGGUAAAACAUCGGUUCCGUAGGGUUUACUUUGAAGAAAUUAGGGUGUUCAAAGCAGGCGAAUCGCCUUGAAUACAUUAGCAUGGGAUAAUGAAAGAUGACCUUUGGUCUAUACUUUAUUGGUUUCUAAGGCUUAGGUAAUGAUUAACAGGGACAGUUGGGGUCGCUUGUAUUCAGUGGUCAGAGGUGAAAUUCUAGGACCCACUGAGGACAAACAAAUGCGAAGGCAUUCGACAAGGAUGUUUUCAUUAAUCAAGAACGAAAGUUGUGGGAUCGAAGAUGAUCAGAUACCGUCGUAGUCACAACCGUAAACUAUGUCGACUUAGGAUUCGGGGAUGUUAAUAGAUGACUCUCCGGGCACUAUGUGCGAAAGCAUAAGUAUUCUGACUCCGGGGGGAGUAUGGUCGCAAGACUGAAACUUAAAGGAAUUGACGGAAGGACACCACCAGGAGUGGAACCUGCGGCUUAAUUUUGACCCAACACGGGGAAACUCACCCGGUCCGGACACGACGAGGAUUGACAGAUUGAUAGCUCUUUCUUGAUUUUGUGGUAGCCGGUGCAUGGCCGUUUUUAGUUGGUGGAGUGAUUUGUCUGGUUAAGUCCGAUAACGAACGAGACCUCAAUGUGCUAAAUAGUGUCGCUCACCGGCGGAUCUCCGCGGGCGUCGGCCGACGAGGCCGGUGCCCUCGGGGGUUCGCGUUAAGGUGUGGGCGAGCUAUUACUUCUUAGAGAGACAGUUGACACGACUUUAUAGUCAAAGGAGGCUUGAGGCAAAAACAGGUCUGUGAUGCCGCUCGAUGUCCGGGGCUGCACGCGCGUUACACUGACAUGUUCAACGAGUAUUACGAUUUCACCUGGCCCGACGGGGUUUAGGCAAUCUGUAAACGCAUGUCGUGAUGGGGAUUGUGCUUUGAAACUAUCGCACAUCAACGAGGAAUUCCUAGUAAGGGUGGGUCAUCAACCCGCCCUGAUUACGUCCCAGUCCUUUGUACACACCGCCCGUCGCUUCUACCGAUCGAAUUGCUCGAUGAGAAUUCGGGACGAGGGGGUUUCCUCGGUCGAAAGGCCGGGGCGCCUCUCCGGAACCUAUUCGAAUCUCGUAAUUUAGAGGAAGAAGAAGUCGUAACAAGGUAUCUGUAGGUGAACCUGCAGAUG
rnacentral:rRNA from 1 species